UAGGGAAUCUUCCGCAAUGGGCGAAAGCCUGACGGAGCAACGCCGCGUGAGUGAUGAAGGUCUUCGGAUCGUAAAACUCUGUUAUUAGGGAAGAACAAAUGUGUAAGUAACUAUGCACGUCUUGACGGUACCUAAUCAGAAAGCCACGGCUAACUACGUGCCAGCAGCCGCGGUAAUACGUAGGUGGCAAGCGUUAUCCGGAAUUAUUGGGCGUAAAGCGCGCGUAGGCGGUUUUUUAAGUCUGAUGUGAAAGCCCACGGCUCAACCGUGGAGUGUCAUUGGAAACUGGAAAACUUGAGUGCAGAAGAGGAAAGUGGAAUUCCAUGUGUAGCGGUGAAAUGCGCAGAGAUGUGGAGGAACACCAGUGGCGAAGGCGACUUUCUGGUCUGUAACUGACGCUGAUGUGCGAAAGCGUGGGGAUCAAACAGG
rnacentral:rRNA from 1 species